UCGAGUUUUAGUGCGUUAUUUGCUUUUACGGGUGUAAUUCAAUAUAAUUUGCUUUAGUUCCUCCAUUAAAUGUAAUCCAGUGGUUUCAUGCAUUUUUGUACGUAUUUACUGUGAUUAAAUAGUUAGGUAUUUUAAACGACUUUUUCCUAUAACCUUAUUUUAAAGUUAGGGGAAAGAUGUCAAACAAGUCUCGGGUCGAGCUUGAACCAGACAAGAAUCUACAACUGCUGAUCGAGCCGCCAUUCAUGAUUGAGUAAGCAAUAGUUGAUGAACAGGUCUGCCAACCUGGGAUAACAGGUGUCAUUCAAGCAUCAAAAGAAGUUAACGUAUGGUUAUGGUGGGUACUAAACAACAAUACUUACGUCUGCGGCCUGCAGUGUCCCUUAUAAUCUAAGGAGUCACAAGAAGGGCAAGAGGAGUGACUGUAUCAUGAUCAGUGAUCACGGAGUCGACACUACACUGCGCGGACUCACUGCUCGGACUUUCGAGAGAAACAUGCUCUCCUGACUGAAUUUUGGCAACAUGCAUAUACCAAUUUUAGCCAGGACUUUUAAUUUAAUCACAUACUAGCGUCUACAGGUGUUUCGAACUAAUACUCUACUGACUGUUAGGUUACGGCAGCGGUCCAAGCUGAUCGCAGGUAUAUAGCGGCGUGCGCAACAUCGCGUCUUACCGUACCAUGGGUACUUCGAAUCCACUGAAGAAAGAAACACAGGUGCGACGGUCGCUGAUUAACUCCUAAACCUUUCGCGGCUCACACAGAACCGUACCAAUAUAAUAUAUGUUUCGCUUUUAUUUACUUGCAUUGAAUUUUUCUAAUUGCAUUAAUUCGUUUUAAUGUUUAUAAUUUUAAUUUAUUUUCAAGGUAACCUAUUAUAUUUUUUAUAAAUUAUGAUUUUAAUCAAACUUAUUUAAAAAGUAUAUAACACGUAUACCAACAUGAUUUAAAGAAUAUGAUCUGUAUAAAUUUCGGUUUUAGGUGUAAUAUGUAUUUAUUAAGUUAAAUUCGAUUUAAAAUUUAACUUGUAUUUAUAUUCAAAAAAUUUAAAAUCUAUUAAUAAUAUUAAAAAAAGAGCUAAUUAAGUAAAUAACAUUUUUAACACA
rnacentral:lncRNA from 1 species